GGCGGUGUUUUAGACCUCUCAGGGGAACCUGUCUCGUAAUCGACAAUCCACGUUAGACCUAACCCUUUAUGGUAAUACAGCCUGUAUACCGUCGUCGUCAGGUAACUUCUUAAAAUAUAGUAGUUAGCUUGAGAAUUCUAUUAAUUAAAACGUCAGAUCAAGGUGCAGCUAAUAAAAGGGUGAGGAUGGGUUACAAUUAUAUA
rnacentral:rRNA from 1 species